rnacentral:lncRNA from 1 species
GUGCUCUUCCGAUCUCUUCCAUGCUGGUGAUAGAUCAACUGUUGGUCUAUCAUUGACAAGGUUUUCCAUCUCGUGUGUUCUAGUUAUCUCUAUCAUCUCUGCUAGUAAAGCUUGUGAUUCAUUUCUAAUGGGCUUUAUAAUUCUAACGUUGUGCCAAUCCACCCUUAUGUUCACAUUAUACACCUCCAUUACUAAUGCAGUGUUCAAAUUUGCCUUUUCUAUAUAUCUCUCUUAUGAGCCUUAAGCCUUUGACACAGGGUCCUUGUCAUCAUACUUACUUAUGUUGCUGUUUGAUGGGUAUCUUGAUAUUUGAACGGUAUUCUGUAAAGGUUUUUCCAAAUCCUCCUCCUAUCUUUUUCAUUCCUCAAGCUGUUGAAUAUACUUGGCAUCCUCUGGUAUGCUAACCUUACCAAAUGAUAUAAGUUUCAUGUGGUAAGUUUUCACUACUAAUUUUGUUCAGUCAUAUAUUACAACAUAAAAACAUCAAAGCAAGUUGUAAAAACCUGUACAUGAUGGAACAAAUCAGAUAUCAUUUUUUCAUUUAGAACCCAAAUUUCUGUAACACCAGC